CAAAGGUUUGGUCCUGACCUUACUAUCAGCUCUAACCCAACUUACACAUGCAAGUCUCCGCCUCCCCGUGAGAAUGCCCUUAAUGUCCUGCCCGGAAUUAAGGAGCAGGCAUCAGGCACAAACAAUUAGCCCACGACGCCUUGCUCAGCCACACCCCUACGGGUACUCAGCAGUGAUAAAAUUUAAGCAAUAAGUGAAAACUUGACUUAGUCAGGGAUAAGAGGGCCGGUAAAACUCGUGCCAGCCACCGCGGUUAUACGAGAGGCCCAAGUUGAUGAAAUGCGGCGUAAAGAGUGGUUAAGAAAAUUAAAGAAUAAGGCCGAACAACCUCAAAGCAGUUAUACGCAUCCGAGGCCACGAAGUACAAUUACGAAAGUAGCCCUAAUGAAAAUCUGACUCCACGAAAGCCAUAAAACAAACUGGGAUUAGAUACCCCACUAUG
rnacentral:rRNA from 1 species